CUACGUGCCAGCAGCCGCGGUAAUACGGAAGGUCCAGGCGUUAUCCGGAUUUAUUGGGUUUAAAGGGAGCGCAGGCUGCACUUUAAGCGUGUUGUGAAAUGUACCGGCUCAACCGGUAACGUGCAGCGCGAACUGGGGUGCUUGAGUACGAAGAGGGAAGGCGGAACUCGUGGUGUAGCGGUGAAAUGCUUAGAUAUCACGAGGAACUCCGAUCGCGAAGGCAGCUUUCCGUUUCGGAACUGACGCUGAGGCUCGAAAGUGCGGGUAUCGAACAGGAUUAGAUACCCUGGUAGUCCGCACGGUAAACGAUGGAUGCUCGCUGUUGGAUAUUUUUAUUCAGUGGCUAAGUGAAAACGUUAAGCAUCCCACCUGGGGAGUACGCCGGCAACGGUGAAACUCAAAGGAAUUGACGGGGGCCCGCACAAGCGGAGGAACAUGUGGUUUAAUUCGAUGAUACGCGAGGAACCUUACCCGGGCUUGA
rnacentral:rRNA from 1 species